GUAGCAAGACUGAAGUUGCAGAUUUUUAAUUUUUAUUAUUGUUUAGAGACGGACUACAUCAUAAGUUUUCAUUGACACUCCCAAUUCAAAUUCAGGACUUUGGAGGUCUUUUUUUCCUCCUUUGUUUUUAUUUUUUGGCAAUUCAUGUAGAUUUUUUUUAAGCAGUUCACAUAGACUUUAAAGUCUAUGUCUGUGGCUAUAGCCCAUAGUAGAUAUUCCGGAAGUACAUACAUUGUGGGAGCGUUGUGAGGGUACUCUGCACUUCCAUAUAAGAACCAUGGAGUGUUUGUUACAAGUACUUCAUAUACUUGCACAGAUUGCUUUCAAAAGAAAAAGUCACAAUAAGUACUAACAUUUUU